AUGGCUGUCGUCAGCUCGUGUCGUGAGAUGUUGGGUUAAGUCCCGCAACGAGCGCAACCCUCGUCCUAUGUUGCCACCAGGUAAUGCUGAGCACUCAUAGGAGACUGCCGGGGUCAACUCGGAGGAAGGUGGGGAUGACGUCAAGUCAUCAUGCCCCUUAUGUCCUGGGCUGCACACAUGCUACAAUGGCCGGUACAAAGGGCUGCGAUACCGCAAGGUGGAGCGAAUCCCAAAAAGCCGGUCUCAGUUCGGAUUGGGGUCUGCAACUCGACCCCAUGAAGUCGGAGUUGCUAGUAAUCGCAGAUCAGCAACGCUGCGGUGAAUACGUUCCCGGGCCUUGUACACACCGCCCGUCACGUCACGAAAGUCGGUAACACCCGAAGCCGGUGGCCCAACCCGUAAGGGAGGGAGCUGUCGAAGGUGGGACUGGCGAUUGGGACGAAGUCGUAACAAGGUAGCCGUACCGGAAGGUGCGGCUGGAUCACCUCCUUUCUAAGGAGCACCUGGCGUCGCCCGUUUCGGGUCGGCGUCCAGAGCCAUGUCGUGAGCGUUCGACUCACGGUGGUUGCUCAAGGGUGGAACAUUGACCAUUCGGCCGGCACUUCUCUCACCACCAAGUACAACCACAUUCGUGUGGAGUGGAACGGUUCAGGUGGGUGAGGGGUCGGCCUAGGCACGCUGUUGGGUCCUGAGGGAUACGGGCGUUUCGCUCGCAUCACUCUGGGGUCGUGCCCGCGCUGUACACAGCGCUUGGGCCUGGCCGGACCGUCUGCCUCGUCGUACGGCUUCCUAAUCGGAAGCACGCGGCGUGUUGCACAGGCGGGACCGCCCGUACCUUGAGAACUGCACAGUGGACGCGAGCAUCUUUUAGUGGCCAAGUUAUUAAGGGCGCACGGUGGAUGCCUUGGCACCAGGAGCCGAUGAAGGACGUAGGAGGCUGCGAUAAGCCUCGGGGAGCUGUCAACCGAGCUGUGAUCCGAGGAUUUCCGAAUGGGGAAACCCGG
rnacentral:sRNA from 1 species